AUGCAGUCGUACGGCAACACAGUUGCGAGCAAUCGCAACCGGUGGCGAGUGGCGCACGGGUGAGUAACGCGUAUGUAACCUACCCUUCUCCGGGACAUAACUCCGCGAAAGCGGUGCUAAUAUCCCAUACCAACUCAUCAAGACAUCUUCUUGAGUUGAAAGCAGCAAUGCGGUGAAGGAUGGGCAUGCGUCCCAUUAGCUGGUUGGUGAGGUAAUGGCCCACCAAGGCUACGAUGGGUAGGGGUUCUGAGAGGAAAGCCCCCCACACUGGUACUGAGACACGGACCAGACUCCUACGGGAGGCAGCAGUAAGGAAUAUUGGGCAAUGGUCGAAAGACUGACCCAGCCAUGCCGCGUGCAGGAUGAAGGCCCUAUGGGUUGUAAACUGCUUUUAGCCGGGAAUAAACACCCGUUUUAUAACGGGCCCGAAGGUACCGGCUGAAUAAGCAUCGGCUAACUCCGUGCCAGCAGCCGCGGUAAUACGGAGGAUGCAAGCGUUAUCCGGAUUCACUGGGUUUAAAGGGUGCGCAGGCGGACAUUUAAGUCAGGGGUGAAAUCCUACAGCUUAACUGUAGAACUGCCCUUGAUACUGAAUGCCUAGAGUAAAGCUGAAGUGGGCGGAAUGUGUUGUGUAGCGGUGAAAUGCUUAGAUAUAACACAGAACACCAAUCGCGAAGGCAGCUCACUAAACUUUAACUGACGCUCAUGCACGAAAGCGUGGGGAGCAAACAGGAUUAGAUACCCUGGUAGUCCACGCCCUAAACGAUGAUCACUCGCUG
rnacentral:rRNA from 1 species